rnacentral:lncRNA from 1 species
AUGUCUACCUUAAUUGCGUUACAAAUAAACGAUACUCAAGACAUCGGACUUCGUCGAGAUGGUACAUUUAUAGAGACGAUCGUGAAGCAUCUCAAGCACGACUAGUUAGAGGAUAUUUCAGCAAAGAUCAAACAUUCACACCCGAGAUGUUUCGCAGGCGAUUUCCAAUGUAUAAAGAUUUGUUUUUGUAAUCGUAGGUGAUUUUCAG